rnacentral:lncRNA from 1 species
UUGUUGCGGUUGUUGUUGAUGUUGUUGUUGUUGAAUUGGAACUGAUUGAUUGUUGGAAUCAUUGGAAAAAACCGGAAUUAUUGAAGAAACUUAAUGUUGAUGCUAACGAGGUUGAGAACUCUUUCUGACAUGAGGCCUCCUCUGCCUCCCGACCGAUACUGAAUUAGUUUCUCCUUACUUCCUCUUGGAGAAACUCCCACCAUAUUUCUUGUUGGCUGAUGCCUCUUCCUUAGACAAACGUCCUUCACGAACUCCUUC